ACUAUACAUAAGGCAUUUUCACUUUCAUUACCUCAUUUAACUUUUCCUGACAAUGACCUUAUAAGGUAGGUAUCCUGUGUAUGUUCAUUUUACAUGUGAUGAGAGGAAGAGGCAGAGAGAUUAGGUCCACUCAUUGAAUAGAUGUUCUCUGGGCAGGCACUGCGGAUGGAGCCCUGAACAGGGGAGGAUCAUGGGAAUUAUAGCCGAGCAGAGGGAACAGAUGUGAUGUGCAUACUGGCAGCCCAGGUUCAGUGCCUAGACUCCCUGCCCUACUCACUCUUUCGGUGGUCUCUCCAGCCUCCCAGCAUUCAGCGCCACCUCGGUGUAUUCUGACAACCCCACAUUUCUAUCUCCAGCCCAGCCCUCUCCAGACAUGAGCCUAGUCACCCUCUCCACUAGUUUUCCCAGUAGACACUUCAAACUUAAUACGUCCAAAAUUAAGCUCUUCUAUAGCUUUUCUCCACAGUCUUCUGGUCUCAGUCCGUGGCAACUCUAUCCUUCCAGCUGCUUGGAGUUAUCUUUGAUCCCUUGAGAUCUCUACAUCCCACAAUCAGACAAGAAUCUUUUUUAUUCCAUUUUUGAAAACAUAUUCAGAAUGUGACCGCUUCUCUCCACCUCCAGCACUACCCCCUGGCCUGAGAGAAUGCCCCUUCACCAGGAUCGCUACUGUGGCCUCUGUUUUGUUCAAUUAUCUCCUACAGUCUAUUCUCAACACAGCAGCCAGCACUAUCCUUGUGAAAAGUAAAUGCCCAUUUGCUGUUCAAAACCCACGAAUGGCUCCCCUUUUCUUUCACAUUAAGGCCAAAGUCCAUGAAAUGUCUGCAAAGCCCUAUACAAUUGGCCCCCUUCCAACAGAUAGGAUUUAGUUAUUAUAUUUAUUGCUUUUUCUCUGUCUGACUACAAGCUCAGCAAGGGCUCCUUUAUUGGCACAUAGUGGGCACUCUAUAAAUGUGUGCUGACUGGAUAAAAUGACUAUACAAGCAUUUAACUGCAUAGUGGUAAGUGCCAUGAACAAGAUGUACCACUGUAAGAAGAAAUUCAUGGGGAGAGAGCCAGAAUUCCAGCUGGAUCUCACAGCUCCAAACCCAGAGCUUGCUCCACUAAGACGGUGUGCAACGAAGUGCCCGGCGCAAAGUAAGUGUCUCCAUGUGCUAACUGAAUUGGGAUCUGAGGUGAUUUCAGGAAACAGGGAAAGCCCUCCCUCACCCUCUUUCAGAAGCUGCCCAGCCAUCUCUCUCUCCCUGUCUCUCUAGCCCCCGACAUGCGCCGGUGCACACACUCACACUCACCCUGCCUUCCCUGGCCUGCUUUCCUCAGGCUGGAGACUGUCUCUCUUUAAAAUGUAAACAGUUUUCAGGAGGAGGAAGAAGAGGACAGUCACCUGGACAGAGCCAGUUCACACUGGCUUUGCUAGAGAUAAGACGUAUGGGGCCAGCUCCCCCUCCGUCCUGCUGCAGGCGAGGAGAGGCCAGAUCUACUGGAUCACGCCGGACGCCUGAGGGGAGGAGGAAGAAGAAAGCCAUGGGUAGGAACGGCUGUAAACAGUAAAGACACUAAGUUCCAUCUCCCUAGUUAGGUAGGGAGCGAGGAGAUGGCCAGGGGCGCUUGAGAACUUGGAAUAAGGUUGCCCUCUGCCGGUGAACCUACCAGAUCAGCUCACAGAGGAAGAGCGCCGAGACGAACGUGCCCGACUAAACGGUAACCCGACGGCACGUAUUAACACAUCCCAGACGGGGCGCAUCGCCAAAAGGGGGUACAGGUCUGGGUAAGGGCGGGCUAUGGGGCUCACGGAAGUAUCUGGUCACAUUGAAUUGGGUCAACAACCUGUCUGAGCCAGAUGCCGCUGCACUUUUGAGUCAUCUGACGCCUCUGCUCUGAAUUUAUCGUGCUCCAGCAACUUCGCCUGCUCCAGCCUCCCUUGGGGCUUGCCUCCAGGGAGGAGAGGCACUCCUCGGGCGGAUUCCCAGAUGUGGACCCCCAGCAGUCCACUCUCGGUGUAAACUAAUAAAUGGUCGUUGGCAUGGUUAGCACCGCCCAGUGCUUCCCCGUCAGGUCAUCAGAGUGAAACAUCAAGGGUCUGCAGGGGCCCAGGGCUGCCGGAACCCACCUCCGCGCGCUGGCCCGAGUAGGGUACUGAGAGAGCGGCCCUUCCCGGGAUGGCAUCGGGCCCCACUGGGCUCUUCAGCGGGUUCAGGGCGGCCCAGAGGGUAAUGCAAAAUUGGGUAGAUGAGAGUGCAUUUUUGUGGGACGAGUCUAAGGUUUCCCUCUGCCUCGCCGGGGCUCUCAGCCCGAGGAAGGGAAAGAAUUGCGCCAGGAGGAAGGACGGGAGGUCCGGCCAGCGGGAAGGAACCCUGUUCCGCCCGGCCUCUGUCUGCUUCUGUGGGCUCAUCCUCCCCGCUGCGGCCAGUGUCACCAGAGAUGCAGGGGGAGCUGGUGGGUGUCGGGAGAGUUGGGGUUGGGGGAGGUCGCCACGGUCGGACACUCAGCCCCCGACUCACGCAGGACCCCCGGAUUGGGGCGGCCGCCGUCAGGCUCCAGCCCACUGCCCUCGCAGGGCGGGCCACCUGGAGGCGGGCCACCUGGAGGCGGGAGGAGUCGACAGCGAUCAUAGUGAAAAUUCUCUCAAACCCGGCUCCCUCCUCCUUCGAAUCCGAGCCCUGGGAAGGGGCUCCGAGGCGCCUUCGGACUCCCCAGGCAGCGGAAACCCCAAGACAGAGACCUCGGUGACCCAGACCCCCUUCUCCAAGCCGAGAAUCCCUCUGCACCACAGCUGGCGCAGGAGUGAGGAGUUGUCGAAGGAGGCGCCGGGUUUCCUCGUAGAUGGGCGUGUUAUAUACAAGGGUUUUUCCUCCGAUCGCAACCGCAAUACGACCAGCUUUCGGGACUGAGCACCCGCUCAAUCUCCCGGUACUGGAGUCGGGGUUGUUGUGAAGACUAAAUGAAAUAAUGUAUUUGAAAGUUCCUGAUGUACAGGAAGUGCUCACUUGAAGUAGCAGCAGGAAAUGCUUCUCCAAGCAAGAACAUGGCUCACAGGGCUGCGGCAUGUGAGCUCUUGCAAGAGUAUCAGAAGUCUGCAGGUGGACCUCACACCCUGCCUCAACAGCCCACCAGUGGAGCUCGGAAGAAGAGGAUGAUUGCUCCCGACACUGCUGGCAUAACAGAGGCUAUUUAGAAAGCACUUUCUAUGUUCCCAACAGUCUAAGCACUUUUCAUCCAUCUUCUCACUCUCACAACACAGUACCAGCCUGUAAUAAGUGGAUAUUUCUCCAGGGUCACAUUGUUCUGGGAAUGUGUAAGUAAACAAGCUAGGAGGCAAGGACAUUUGAUGAACUGACCAAUGAGACAAGACUUGACCGUGAGUUCCUUGAGGAUAGCUUCCUCAUCCGAUUCAGUUUUAUCUCUGCAGACAGAGGCAUGGGAAGAGUCACAGGACAGUUCCUGGGCAGUGGUUACACAGGCCCAAGGUUGAAGGGAACAAGAGGGACUUCAGGAGGCAGCUCAGGCUGCCAGUUGAGCCCAAGUCCUUGGUCCUUCUCAAAGGAAGAUUGCGUUUUCUCCAAGAUGAGCAAGGGACUAUACAGUUUUUCCAUCUGGACUGUUUUGCUGUCAAACUGUCAAGGCUGUGAGACUCCCCAAGACUACCUAGGCAUGUCCCCUCUUUGAUGGAAUCCACCUCAAGUAUUUUCAGGGUCCCCACGAUGCUUACGAUUGGUGCUACUCAAUCUUCAUUUUCCUGGAGAUGACUCUUCAGAGUCCUUUGAAAUCAAAGAACUCACAUGGGGGCUGGAAUGACUCAGGGAAGACAGGAGGUAAGCGUCUGUCCACAAUGAUGGGGUUUUCCAGCCAGGAGGUGCAACAGGUAGACCCUGUUCUACAACCUCACCUCUAGUUACAGUGGAUAAACGCGUUUAUAGAUCUGAGUCCCUUCUUAAAGAUAAGGGGUUUUUUUGGUAAUGAUUUUGCAUUUUCCCUUCUCAAAAUGGGAACUUAUGUUAUUUUGAAAUCCUUUGCCCGUUAAAAAAAAUUUUUGACAGAAAAAUAUGCAUAAAUAAAAUAUGUCAUGUAGGAAAGAUUGCAUUCCUAAUGUGCCUUUCUAUAAACUUAUUCCUUUCAAAAAGAUAAACUGUGACUUUAUGUAACAACAAAAAAUUGGCAAUGAUGUUCUUAGGCAUUUUUGUGAGAUAUGUAUAUUUUAAGGAUGUUAGCUCUUUGGCUGCCAUAUUACAUGUAUCAGUCUCCCCAACCAUAGUCUGCAAGGUGUACAGUAUAAGCACCGUAAAGGCAUGUACUUUUGGUCUACCCUCUGUGCCUAAUAAACAGCAUGGUGGGCAUGAAGUGUUCAACAAAUGAAUAUAAACCAGAAACUCUACAAGGCAGACCACCCUACAUUUUGCAACCUAUCUGAUAACACUAAUCUUAUUUCACAAGGUUUAUUUUCAUAAGCUAAGUAAAAAUAUUUGUAUUGAAAAUCAAUCAUAAACACCCUCUCUCAUCUCCAGAUAGCAGACAAUAUUCUAGAACAUAGAUCUAUGUCUCCUGAUUCCUAGCAGAGCCCUGACUGCUUUGGGAUUGAAAGAGAAUGUCUGCAGAGAGUAUCUAAGUCAUUUCUUAAAAUAUUCAGCUGAGAGAGAGUCCCUCUCAGGAGAGAGAGAGAAAGUCUCCCUCUAGACGGAAGCUUAGCUGGUUACACCUGUGGAGCUGGACUGUGGCAUGUCAAGACCCAAGUCCACUUACUGUGUCACCUUGGACAAGUUGUUAACUUCCCUAAUCCUCAGUGCCCUCCUCUGUGAAAAUCCUUUGUAAAAAAAUAGAUGCCCACCUUAAAAGAGUGUCUAGAACAUGUGUUCAAUAAAUUUUAGAUGUUAUUGUUUUUA